rnacentral:rRNA from 1 species
GAAGUGUGGACGCCAGUCUGCAUGGAGCCGACCUUGAAAUACCACCCUUUAAUGUUUGAUGUUCUAACGUUGACCCGUAAUCCGGGUUGCGGACAGUGUCUGGUGGGUAGUUUGACUGGGGCGGUCUCCUCCUAAAGAGUAACGGAGGAGCACGAAGGUUGGCUAAUCCUGGUCGGACAUCAGGAGGUUAGUGCAAUGGCAUAAGCCAGCUUGACUGCGAGCGUGACGGCGCGAGCAGGUGCGAAAGCAGGUCAUAGUGAUCCGGUGGUUCUGAAUGGAAGGGCCAUCGCUCAACGGAUAAAAGGUACUCCGGGGAUAACAGGCUGAUACCGCCCAAGAGUUCAUAUCGACGGCGGUGUUUGGCACCUCGAUGUCGGCUCAUCACAUCCUGGGGCUGAAGUAGGUCCCAAGGGUAUGGCUGUUCGCCAUUUAAAGUGGUACGCGAGCUGGGUUUAGAACGUCGUGAGACAGUUCGGUCCCUAUCUGCCGUGGGCGCUGGAGAACUGAGGGGGGCUGCUCCUAGUACGAGAGGACCGGAGUGGACGCAUCACUGGUGUUCGGGUUGUCAUGCCAAUGGCACUGCCCGGUAGCUAAAUGCGGAAGAGAUAAGUGCUGAAAGCAUCUAAGCACGAAACUUGCCCCGAGAUGAGUUCUCCCUGACUCCUUGAGAGUCCUGAAGGAACGUUGAAG